GGAUAUGGCACCACUCAUUCGGCCAUGCUGUGGCGGCAUCCCACAUGCCACAACUAGAAGGACCCACAACUAAAAAUACACAACUAUGUACCGGGGAGCUUUGGAGAGAAAAAGGGAAAAUAAAGUCUUUAAAAAAAAGGGUAAUGAUUAUAAUGGAUUGAAACAUUUUGUUUUACUGUAAAUCCUCUCUGGCUCUACAUUUAACUGUUUACAGGAUAUACCAGGGACAGGAACAUGUAAAAUGACACAUGAAGAUACAAUCAGCCAAAUCCAGAAUGUGAAAAAUUCUUUUGGUCACCCCAUCCAGUUCCUUCAGUAAGUGGCAUCGUCAUCAUCAACCACAAAAAGGGAAGCGGAAUUGUUGUAUUUUAGAAGAGAUCUAGGAGAUACAUCAAUGAAUGCAGCAAGUAGACCUUGCUUGGACCCUCAUUAAACACUAAAAGUUUUUGAGACAAUGGGGGAAAAUUGCAUAUAUACUAAGUAUUAGAUGACAUUAAAGAGUUAUGUUUAAUUUUGUUGGGUGUGCUAAUGGUAUUUUUUAAAGUCCUUAUCUGUUUGAGACACACACUAUGGGGCCAGCCCCAUGACCAAGUGGUUAAGUUCAUGCGCUCCACUUCAGCAGCCCAGGGUUUCACCGAUUUGGAUCCUGGGAGGACCUAGCAUCACUCAUCAAGCCAUGCUGAGGUUGCGUCCCACAUAGCAGAGCCAGAAGGACCUACAUAAAGAGUAUACAACUAUGUGCUAGGGGGCUUUGGGGAGAAAAAAAAAAAAGAUUGGCAACAGAUGUUAGCUCAGGUGCCAAUCUUUGAAAGAAAAGAGACACACACUGAAGUAUUUAUAGGUGAAAUGAUAUGUCUGGGAUUUUAAUAUACUUCAGGAAAAACAAUGCAGAAAGAUAAAUGAAACAAGAAAGGCAAAAAAUUGAUCAUUGUUGAAAUUGGAUGACGGGUAUAUGAAAGUUCAUUGUAACUAUUCUUUUAGGUGUGACUGGAAAUUCUCUUAAUAAAAAAUUAAAAACAAAGUUUCAACCUCCCUUUGCUCUAUGCCAUGUCCAAUAUGUAGCCGCCCCUGACGCAGGAAGGGUUAAUAAUCACUGGAAAUGGCUUGCCAACAAACUGUGACCCAGAAGUGAGAAGGCCGGUCAGCCAAUGACAGUUUUCUUAGCCGAGAUUUUCAGUCUCAUGUUGCAGUUUGUUCAAAGGAAGAAGGGAGGAGAAUGAUGCAGAGAAGCUUGCCAAGGGAAGGGUGGGCAACAGCAGACAAGUCAAGCCACUUAAACCUGAAGACUGUCCCCACCAGAUGUGGGCGGAGAUCAAACUCUCCACUGACUGCUGAAUAUGGCAAAGACUGUGCCUUGUCCAUUCCAUUGGACAAAAGUUGAGCCAAACGCUAAUAUUUAGAAAUCGGAGAUUUCAUAUCAAAACCCAAAUUUCCACCUUCGUUUUAUUUGUUCAUCCAGCUUCUUAAAACGAGUUCUCCAAGAAGAGGCUUUCUGUUCUCACCACAGAACUGCUGCUGCUCAGGGAGGCUUGCUUUGUAAAACUUCAUUCUUUAAUGCUCAAGGAUUUUUGUCUGGUUCAAUCCAGUUCUUACAGGAUAAACAGCAGCAUAUACGACAGUAAGCACGGUAAGCAUGACGUUACACGGUUUCUCUAUGUUUAGCAAGGAAGGCAGAGCAAGCACUGGGACCCCACCCACACUUCUCACUGGCCUAUCGGAGCCA
rnacentral:lncRNA from 1 species